rfam:Ictidomys tridecemlineatus contig033026, whole genome shotgun sequence.
GGGGUUGUAGCUCAGUGGUAGAGUGCUUGCCUUGCAAGCAUGAGGCACUGGGUUUGAUCCUUGGCACCA